rnacentral:rRNA from 1 species
GACGAACGCUGGCGGCGUGCUUAACACAUGCAAGUCGAACGGAAAGGCCCUGCUUUUGUGGGGUGCUCGAGUGGCGAACGGGUGAGUAACACGUGAGUAACCUGCCCUUGACUUUGGGAUAACUUCAGGAAACUGGGGCUAAUACCGGAUAGGAGCUCCUGCUGCAUGGUGGGGGUUGGAAAGUUUCGGCGGUUGGGGAUGGACUCGCGGCUUAUCAGCUUGUUGGUGGGGUAGUGGCUUACCAAGGCUUUGACGGGUAGCCGGCCUGAGAGGGUGACCGGCCACAUUGGGACUGAGAUACGGCCCAGACUCCUACGGGAGGCAGCAGUGGGGAAUAUUGCACAAUGGGCGGAAGCCUGAUGCAGCAACGCCGCGUGCGGGAUGACGGCCUUCGGGUUGUAAACCGCUUUCGCCUGUGACGAAGCGUGAGUGACGGUAAUGGGUAAAGAAGCACCGGCUAACUACGUGCCAGCAGCCGCGGUGAUACGUAGGGUGCGAGCGUUGUCCGGAUUUAUUGGGCGUAAAGGGCUCGUAGGUGGUUGAUCGCGUCGGAAGUGUAAUCUUGGGGCUUAACCCUGAGCGUGCUUUCGAUGCGGGUUGACUUGAGGAAGGUAGGGGAGAAUGGAAUUCCUGGUGGAGCGGUGGAAUGCGCAGAUAUCAGGAGGAACACCAGUGGCGAAGGCGGUUCUCUGGGCCUUUCCUGACGCUGAGGAGCGAAAGCGUGGGGAGCGAACAGGCUUAGAUACCCUGGUAGUCCACGCUGUAAACGGUGGGUACUAGGUGUGGGGUCCAUUCCACGGGUUCCGUGCCGUAGCUAACGCUUUAAGUACCCCGCCUGGGGAGUACGGCCGCAAGGCUAAAACUCAAAGGAAUUGACGGGGCCCCGCACAAGCGGCGGAGCAUGCGGAUUAAUUCGAUGCAACGCGUAGAACCUUACCUGGGUUUGACAUGGAUCGGGAGUGCUCAGAGAUGGGUGUGCCUCUUUUGGGGUCGGUUCACAGGUGGUGCAUGCCUGUCGUCAGCUCGUGUCGUGAGAUGUUGGGUUAAGUCCCGCAACGAGCGCAACCCUUGUUCACUGUUGCCAGCACGUUAUGGUGGGGACUCAGUGGAGACCGCCGGGGUCAACUCGGAGGAAGGUGGGGAUGACGUCAAGUCCUCAUGCCCCUUAUGUCCAGGGCUUCACGCAUGCUACAAUGGCUGGUACAGAGAGUGGCGAGCCUGUGAGGGUGAGCGAAUCUCGGAAAGCCGGUCUCAGUUCGGAUUGGGGUCUGCAACUCGACCUCAUGAAGUCGGAGUCGCUAGUAAUCGCAGAUCAGCAACGCUGCGGUGAAUACGUUCCCGGGGCU